rnacentral:rRNA from 1 species
GCGGCGGAAUUCAGGAUGGCGGGCGUGCCUUCGCGGCGCGUCGGUCGUUUGAUAUUUCCGUCGCCGAUCAACCGCAGACGUUGCGACCUGUUUGCGGUCGGUCCUUGCUCGGAGGAGCCGCGUUCGAGUUCGUUGUGUACGCGUUUCGGCGCGUCACACGGCGAAGGCGCGGAACUCUGGCUGGCCGUCGGACAGUAUGCUUAACGGUGUCCGGUGUCGUCGUCUCGUACGCGCGUGCAACCGGUACCGGUCAGCGACGAAUUCUUCGGGCCUCUUUCCGACCCGUCUUGAAACACGGACCAAGGAGUCUAACAUGCGCGCGAGUCGCGGGGUGUCGAGCGUACUUUGGUGCGUUCGUUACGUUGCGAAACCCGUACAUGUCRAAGGCGUAAUGAAAGUGAAUGGGGAAGAUGGUGUUCCGAGUACACGUUCCGCGAUCGUCGGUAUCGCGGCCGGACACCCGCAUUCCCGGGGCGUCUCAACGGCCCGUCGCUGAUGCGGACAGUCGUCUUCCGGGGUGGCUGUCGGUCGGCGAUGAACCGAGGCGCACCUAUAGCGUGCACGUUGGUACCCGAAAGAUGGUGAACUAUGCCUGGCCAGGAUGAAGUCAGG